rnacentral:rRNA from 1 species
GACCGCGACCCAGGGUCAGGCGGGACUACCCGUGAGUUUAA